CCAGCACCAAGGAUCCACGUUUCACUCAUGGCAAUUAUUACAGCCACAAGGGGUACCAUGCACUGAACGUGCUGGGGAUUUGCGAUGCUAAUCGCAGAAUCCUCCACCUAAAUGCACGCUAUCCGGGGAGCUGUCACGACGCUGCUGUCUGGUCAAUGUGCAGGAUACGGCAGAGGGCUUCAGUCCUGUUCGACGAUGGGGAGUGGCUGCUGGGAGAUCUUGGCUACCCACUUGAGCCAUGGUUGAUGACUCCAUUCCGGGCUCCGGCAUCAGACAAAGAAGUGGCAUAUAAUGCAGCUCACAGCAGGACUAGGGUUCGAAUCGAGCAAUGCUUCGGAGUGCUGAAAAUGCGAUUCCGGUGCCUGCAAAGGUACCGCACCCUUCACUUUGCACCAGACAGAGCCUGCAAUAUCAUCACUGCUUGUGCUGUGCUACACAAUAUGUGCAUUUCAUACAAUUUGCCUGAGCCUGCAGAGGAGCCUGAACCGGCAGCUACAGAACAUGACAGUGCCACAGUUACAGUGACUGAGGACGAACCCAGCGAGGAGGGUGAACCCAUCAGUCGAAAUGACUCCUUCAUAUCACAGGCAAUGCGCGUACGUGAGAGAAUUGUCAACAGGUACUUCUAGCAGCCUGUCAAGAAAUGUAUAUACAUCAUCACAACUGCUUUGUCGU